CAGGUUUGUUAUUGCUUUUCAGCAUUUGGUUACGUUUCCAGCUAGGCAGAUAUUCGACGAAACUCUUGCGAACAUAGUUGGAAUCAGUUAUGAUCACAAAUUCUUUGAUACCAUAUUUUAUUGCCAUUUGAAUGGUCUUAUAUACUGCACAGAUUUCGGCUAUCUGACUGCUUUUGGGACCAAUAUUGUAUCCUAUAGAUACAUUGGGAUAAUCACCUAUCCAGGCGAUUCCGAUACCUGCAACUAACUUCCGUUCAGCACCAGCGGCGUGGUGAUAUGAACAACCAUCAAUGUAUACCCACGGUAGUGGUCGACAGUAUUCCUCGUCAUAAAC